CCUACGGGUGGCAGCAGUGAGGAAUAUUGGUCAAUGGGCGCGAGCCUGAACCAGCCAAGUCGCGUGAAGGAUGAAGGCCCUACGGGUUGUAAACUUCUUUUAUAAGGGAAUAAGGUGAGGGACGUGUGCCUUUUUGUAUGUAACUUAUGAAUAAGGCUCGGCUAACUCCGUGCCAGCAGCCGCGGGAAAACGGAGGAUUAGAGCGGUAUCCGGAUUUAUUUGGUUUAAAGGGUUCGUAGGUGGGUAUUUAAGUCAGUUGUGAAAGUUUGGGGCUCAACCAUAAUAUUGCCGUUGAAACUGGCAGCCUUGAGUACAUUUGAGGUAGGCGGAAUGCGUGGUGUAGCGGUGAAAUGCAUAGAUAUCACGCAGAACUCCGAUUGCGAAGGCAGCUUACUAAACUACCACUGACACUGAUGCUCGAAAGUGUGGGUAUCAAACAGGAUUAGAUACCCCUGUAGUC
rnacentral:rRNA from 1 species